UUUUUUAAACAGGACUAUGGUCUGAAUAAUUGUGAGUAUUGUUACAAGCAAACUUUGGGGAAAAGAACCUCAAGACUCAUGUUAAGGAAAGCAAAGACAUCCUGGAGGCAAAGGGAAGCUAUUCUGCAAGCCACUUCCUAAACCUAAGUGAGUGCUCAUCAAGUCUUGGCACGCGGAGUGCCCUCCCUGCACAGGAGCCAUGAAAAUUGUGUGCAGAUUUGACUUUGGGGAACUCAUCUCACUGUCCCUAAAACAGUUCAGUUAACUAGAAAGGAGUGGAACUGAUUUCAGCACAUAGAUUGCUCAGAAGCUGCCUCAGGAGCUUUGCUCUGGGAGGAAUUCCACCUUGGUUCUGAUAGAUAAAGGCAAUCCUAGAAUCAAUGUGUUCCCAACCUACAAGGGGGUUGCUGGGAGACUCUAAUGUUCACUAGGCUCCAUGGGAGAGGGCGAGUUUUAAAAAAUUAAGUCACUAUUUUAUUCUCUGCCUCAUAGAAUCUUGUUUUUCUGAUUGCUUUAGGUGUAAGUUUGCCUUGUUUCCAAGACAGGAUUGUGAGAUGUGCUGUGUCAACCCGCAUACAGUGUAGUUUUAAAGACACAUGGUAAACUACCCAUUUAUUAAUUUCACCAGAGUUUAUCAAAAGCUUAUAGAGUGCCAAACACUGCCUCUGGGAACAGAGGCCCCCUCACUACUGCAGCCCCAUCUCUCCUUGUGCUAUGAAAAAGCAAUGAAAACCACCUGGUCCCAGGGGUUUAGCG
rnacentral:lncRNA from 1 species